AGCACUGACUAGUAGGAGGGCCCGCCGGAGGAGAGGACAUGCUCUGGAGUCAGAAGACAGCGAAAAGAGAAGCAGAAGCCCCGGUGGCAAGAGUCUGAAGCAGGAAGGAUGACUGUAGCCUGUGGAUUGUACUGCAGUAGGAAACUGUCCUAGCAAGGCUCCACUUUGCCCCAGCUUCAAGCUGGAAAGGAGGAGAACAUGAAACAUUGCUUGAAGACAAUGGCCGAGACAGCAGGUCCCACCCUGCACAGCCACCAGCAUCUCUCCCCUCAGCCCUGUCUCCUCUUCUGCAGUUGGGAUCUGCACAUUUAAGCCUGAAAUUGUCCUGUGAAGUGAAGUAUGAUCGGACAGCCUCUUUUCAGCUUUUAUGACAAUGGAGACAGAGGAAUUGUGGCUCUUGCCAAGGUCACAGGAUUGGAAUACAGAGCCAAGCCACCCCAGGACAUGCAAGAGCCUCAGAAGGGAAAAAAGCCCAGCAGGAAGGGAGAACAAGUAGCCUCUGUCCUGAAGUUGUAACAGCCAGGGGCCAGGAUGGAGGAGGAGGACCCCAUAAUCUGCCCA
rnacentral:lncRNA from 1 species